AAGGGAACAGUUCUCAUUUUAGGUCGCAGCUUACCUUCGGCAUCCAUAGACCUGUCAAUUAGCCCUCUCCCUGUAUUCUGAUUCAUUUCCAGCAGCAGACGUGCCAAAGACUGGCAGGAACUCAGGGAAAUAUAUCCUGAGCACAGGUGGUAUGUUGAAUAUGCCUUGGUGCUUUAUUUGAACUAACCAACUGAUACAUUUAAACAAUAUAGGCAUGAGACGGAGGGGGAAACUAGGAGACAGAACUGGCGAUAAAUUUGAGAGACUCACUGCUACCUCUAGGUCGAGAUGAGAUUUCUGUCGUGCAUUAAGCUAAUUUGGAUUGUGAAUGAAUACAAGUCCAGGAAGUCGAUUCUGAGACCCGAUACCCUGCGAGGGGAGUGCAGGAUAAGCAGGAGACAUUAAUUAGCGCUGCCUUAAGCAGUUUUACCGACGCAGGCGGGACUGUGGUGGAGCACUGGAGAUGCUGCGAGCCCUGAGCUGCCUUCACAGCCUUGUUGGGUGUGCUGCUGGAUCACACUGCAUGAGAAAUGGAAGCAACCUAUCUGUAAAGAGCCUGCAAACCUCAGGACGCUCUGGAAGCCAGUGGAAUAAUUACAGUGGGAUGAGGCUGCAAGUCCCCUUGCUUCCUGAGCUGCAUUCAUGGCUGUGUGAAGGGGAGAAAGGAAUACAUUUGAGGUCUUUUCAUGGAAGACACAGAUAUUUUAAUGUUGCGAUACCAUCCAACAGGGUGAGCUGAGAGAACCAACACUAAGAGUUUCACAGAUAGAACACCACUAUUCCCUGUGUAAAACAGGAGGUAGGCAGGCGUAGGCCUCCCCUGGAAAACAAUGUUUUAAGAGCUCAUAAAUACCUAGACGUCAAAUCAUCCUCGUUUCUAGUGUUUGUAUAGAUAUUUCCAAUAAUAUAUUUAGUGGGCUCACUUUUUUAUUUUGUGCAUUUAUCCUGGUUUAUUGUUUAUUUUUCCUGAAUUAUUGGCCAAUGAAUAUUUAUAUUAGAACAGAAAAAAAUAUAUUCUAAAAUUAAUGUCAUAAAAAUAAGUUACAUCAGUUAGAUGUCCUCUGCAUGAGAAAGGGAUAAGAUGGAUUGCUAAAUAUCCCCUGGGGCUGAGCCAGCAAGACUAGGACUGCACACCCCUCAUCAUUAGCAAGGACACAAAAUCACGGAGGAGACCCAGUUGGCCAGGGCAGACCAGCCAGGCAGUGCUGUGUCGAACGCAUGAUGAAUGUGGUGGAUGCAUUGAGCUCUCUUCCCAGCUGAGGAGUUAAAGAGAAACAUUUAGUAAAAAGGGCCAGGAUUUAGUCACAAUGCUACCCUCUCCCGAUAGAAUAAUUAAGCAAUGAACACAGCUGCACAUUUCUGGAAUGGACACUGCGAGAAAGGUGUAGUUUUUCCAUGUUGUAUGGCAUUUGUUUUCUUGCAAACAGGCAAGCACGGGCUAGGACUGUUUCUACGCCUGUCUGCACUGUGAUAUGCACUGUCUUCGCUGCAGAAGAGCACCACAAUGCUGCCUUCAUAUUCCGGAACAUGCCAGGCUCAGUUUUCUUUCUUUAAGUCCUCAUUUUCUGCUUAAUGUGCAUACUAGGGCUAAAAAAAGCCUAACUCCUAUUUUCUCCCUUCUCCUGAGGUCCUUCUGGGUCAAGAUGGCUCCAGGCUGACAGGGUUGUGGGAAGGCGCGGUCUGGCUCUAGUCUGAUUCUCCAAUCAGAACACAAGACAGUGAGCGUUAAGCUGUCCUUUCCGCUGCUGAGUGACCUUGGAGGACUCAUUAAUCUCUCUGGCCCCAGUUUCCUCAUCUCUAUGGUAAGGGAAAUGGCGGCAGAGCUCCUCUCAAACGUCAGUUAUAAAGCUAAGAUAAGCGUGUAUCCAGAAAGCAGUUAAGAACGGUACAGUUGCUCAGUGUUGUAGCUGUUAUUCCGUUUAACUUAAAUUUGUUGAGCAUCUGGCAUAACCAGGUACAAGAAAAUAUCACGUUUAAUCCCAAGAACAACUCGGUCAGAUUGAUAUUAAUAUCUCCAUUUGGGGAGUGAGGGAUCUGUGUCUGACAGAAGUUAAAAUGUUGUGUUUAAGGUCACACAAGGAGAGUGAUGAAGCCUGCAUGUUCACUGUGGACUCAGAAGCCACUGGGCUUUGUCAUGUUGCCCUCUGCCCCCACCAUUCCAUAAUAGAGAAAGGGAUUGAGCCCUGGAAGUUAUAUCAUUUAAAUAUCUUGAGAGUAUAAGAGGUGGAAGCAAUUUCUCCCAGCUGGGUGGAGACAACAUCGCUAAUUCCUGAGAGGUGUGGACAUGUGUUCCAGGAAGAGGGAAGACCUUGAGUAAGUGUCUGGAGGUGAGAGAACAGGUAAGUCUGAGAAGAGGAAGGUGAUGUCCAUGUCAUUGGACCGUUUUUGAGGGUACAUGCAGGAGAAUAUGUGUGACUAAGAAUUGUAAAUGUUGUUUGAGGCCAAAUUUGGAGAGAUUUGAGUGCCAGGCAGGAUUAGGAUUUUAAUCCCUCAGCCACCAGUGUUUUUGGUGCAAGGUCAAUACACACUCAGUGCUGUAUUCCAACAGCAAUGUAUACAAUUUAUUACAGAGAAGGGAGGUGACCAGCUACCAGAGUAUCACAACUGCAAGAAGCUGAGGUUUUGUGGUACUGGGGAAAGAGGAGUGAUCCACAGGCCUUACUAAUUCUCUCCCUUCCAGACUGUAUUAGUUAAGAUUCUCUAGAGGGAGAGAACUAAUGGAAUAUAUAUAUAUAUAUAUAUACAUAUAUAUAUAUAUGUAUAUGUAUAUAUAUAUGUAUAUGUACAUAUGCAUAUACAGA
rnacentral:lncRNA from 10 species